CCUACGGGUGGCUGCAGUGGGGAAUAUUGGGCAAUGGGCGCAAGCCUGACCCAGCAACGCCGCGUGAAGGAAGAAGGCUUUAGGGUUGUAAACUUCUUUUCUCAGGGACGAAGAAAGUGACGGUCACUGAGGAAUAAGCCACGGCUAACUACGAGCCAGCAGCCGCGGUAAUACGUAGGUGGCAAGCGUUAUUCGGAUGUAUUGGGUGUAAAGGGCGUGUAGGCGGGAGCGCAAGUCAGAUGUGAAAACUCAGGGAUCAACGCGGAGCCUGCAUUUGAAAGUGUGUUUCUUGAGUGCUGGAGAGGCAAUCGGAAUUCGGUGUGUAGCGGUGAAAUGCGUAGAUAUACGGAGGAACACCAGUGGCGAAGGCGGAUUGCUGGACAGUAACUGACGCUGAGGCGCGAAAGCGUGGGGAGCAAACAGGAUUAGAUACCCUGGUAGUC
rnacentral:rRNA from 1 species